rnacentral:rRNA from 1 species
UUUCGACCUGAACUCAGACGUGAAUACCCGCU